UAACUACUCCCUCUGUCCCAAAAUUCUUGUCUUAGAUUUGUCUAGAUACGGAUGUACGUACAUCCGUAUCUAGACAAAUCUAAGACAAGAAUUUUGGGACAGAGGGAGUAUAUU
rnacentral:pre_miRNA from 1 species